CGUGUAGGCGGGCUGGAAAGUUAGGUGUGAAAUACUAUGGCUCAACCAUAGAGUGUCAUCUGAAACUACCAGUCUUGAGUGCGGAAGAGGGUGGUAGAAUUCCCGGUGUAGCGGUGAAAUGCGUAGAUAUCGGGAGGAAUACCGGAGGCGAAGGCGGCCACCUGGUCCGAUACUGACGCUGAGGCGCGAAAGCGUGGGCAGCAAACA
rnacentral:rRNA from 1 species